rnacentral:rRNA from 1 species
GAGUUUGAUCGUGGCUCAGGAUGAACGCUGGCGGCGUGCCUAACACAUGCAAGUCGAACGAAGCAAUCGGGAUGAAGUUUUCGGAUGGAUUCCUGGUUGACUGAGUGGCGGACGGGUGAGUAACGCGUGGAUAACCUGCCUCACACUGGGGGAUAACAGUUAGAAAUGGCUGCUAAUACCGCAUAAGCGCACAGUACCGCAUGGUACGGUGUGAAAAACCCAGGUGGUGUGAGAUGGAUCCGCGUCUGAUUAGCCAGUUGGCGGGUAACGGCCCACCAAAGCGACGAUCAGUAGCCGACCUGAGAGGGUGACCGGCCACAUUGGGACUGAGACACGGCCCAAACUCCUACGGGAGCAGCAGUGGGGAAUAUUGCACAAUGGCGAAGCCUGAUGCAGCGACGCCGCGUGA